GAACUAAAUGCAAUAUCUUUAUUUAUUUUAUAGUUUCUCGAAAUGAAUUGUACACUAACCUGUUCCGUCCUACGUGCUAAUUUAAUUAACUCCGGUAUCCGGUGUAACCGCGGUUAUAUCCAUAGACUUAUAAAGUCUAGACGGAAUAUCCACCCCGAGAACUGGGAGGCGUGGUCGGCUCGAAUAGAUUAAUAGUGAUUGAUACUGAUAUAAAGCCUAGUGUGAGAGAGAGCAAAUUUACACUCUGAAGACAGCCAAUUAAAUACUCCGUUUAUUAUCUCACGUAGUUAUGUGUUUUUGUCCUCGAAAUGAAACUACAUUCACCGAAAAGCGUUUUCAUGCUGAAUGAUCCGUCACACAGAUAAGUCUAUGGAUAUAGGUAGGUCCUAUAUCCAAUAGGUUUUCCAAUCGAUCUUUGAUGGUAGAGUGUUUAUAAUUUUAUUAGCGGGAUAAAUACGUUCAGCGGAGGAAAACAUUUUUCGAACACGAAUAAUAUAAAAUUGCCUUGAUUGGGCAUCUUCGCAUCUAAAACUUUUUGUAUUGUACUAUAUGUUAGAAUCCAUGUUCAAUAUCAAAAAUGAUUUUAUUUUUAUUUUUAGCGAAAAUAGAUACGCGAUUGUUUUGCAGAAUUGUCUAUGAAUUGUGAUAUUUAGAUCUUCUUGACUGUUGACCGAGUUUUGAAUUAAAUUACGAAUUCGGAUAUUUUUCAUUUAAUAUU